UACGAAGGGGGCUAGCGUUGCUCGGAAUCACUGGGCGUAAAGGGUGCGUAGGCGGGUCUUAAGUCAGGGGUGAAAUCCUGGAGCUCAACCCCAGAACUGCCCUUGAUACUGGCAAUCUCGAGUCCGGGAGAGGUGAGUGGAACUGCGAGUGUAGAGGUGAAAUUCGUAGAUAUUCGCAAGAACACCAGUGGCGAAGGCGGCUCACUGGCCCGGUACUGACGCUGAGGUGCGAAAGCGUGGGGAGCAAACAGG
rnacentral:rRNA from 1 species